UGUCCUAUGAUUUAGUCGGUUAAAGCGCUGUUCUGAUAAAUUCAGAGUCGUGGGAUCGAAUCCCACCACGACAA
rnacentral:tRNA from 1 species